rnacentral:rRNA from 1 species
UACGUAGGGGGCUAGCGUUGUCCAGAUUUAUUGGGCGUAAAGAGCGUGUAGGCGGCCAGGUAGGUCUGCUGUGAAAACUCGAGGCUCAACCUCGAGACGUCGGCGGAAACCAUCUGGCUAGAGUCCGGAAGAGGAGAGUGGAAUUCCUGGUGUAGCGGUGAAAUGCGCAGAUAUCAGGAAGAACACCCGUGGCGAAGGCGGCUCUCUGGGACGGUACUGACGCUGAGACGCGAAAGCGUGGGGAGCGAACAGG